GUCCACGCCGUAAACGAUGAGCACUAGUUAUUGGGGGUAUUGACUCCCUCAGUGACGCAGCUAACGCAUUAAGUGCUCCGCCUGGGGAGUACGGUCGCAAGACUAAAACUCAAACAAAUUGACGGGGGCCCGCACAAGCGGUGGAUUAUGUGGUUUAAUUCGAAGCAACGCGCAGAACCUUACCUAGGCUUGAACUCCUACGAAUCCGGGGUAAUGCCUGGAGUGUCCGCAAGGAAAUGUAGUGAGAGGUGCUGCAUGGCUGUCGU
rnacentral:rRNA from 1 species